UGGUGAUGAGGUCAUCAGUGUGCAGUCUUGGUGAUGAGGUCAUCAGUGUGCAGUCUUGGUGAUGAGGUCAUCAGUGUGCAGUCUUGGUGAUGAGGUCAUCAGUGUGCAGUCUUGGUGAUGAGGUCAUCAGUGUUCAGUCUUGGUGAUGAGGUCAUCAGUGUGAAGUCUUGGUGAUGAGGUCAUCAGUGUGCAGUCUUGGUGAUGAGGUCAUCAGUGUGCAGUCUUGGUGAUGAGGUCAUCAGUGUGCAGUCUUGGUGAUGAGGUCAUCAGUGUGUUCAGUCUUGGUGAUGAGGUCAUCAGUGUGCAGUCCUGGUGAUGAGGUCAUCAGUGUGCAGUCUUGGUGAUGAGGUCAUCAGUGUGCAGUCUUGGUGAUGAGGUCAUCAGUGUGCAGUCUUGGUGAUGAGGUCAUCAGUGUGCAGUCUUGGUG
ensembl:lncRNA